CCUACGGGUGGCAGCAGUGAGGAAUAUUGGUCAAUGGACGAGAGUCUGAACCAGCCAAGUAGCGUGAAGGAUGACUGCCCUAUGGGUUGUAAACUUCUUUUAUAUGGGAAUAAAACGUUCCACGUGUGGGAUUUUGUAUGUACCAUAUGAAUAAGGAUCGGCUAACUCCGUGCCAGCAGCCGCGGUAAUACGGAGGAGCCGAGCGUUAGCCGGAUUUAUUGGGUUUAAAGGGAGCGUAGGUGGAUUGUUAAGUCAGUUGUGAAAGUUUGCGGCUCAACCGUAAAAUUGCAGUUGAAACUGGCAGUCUUGAGUACAGUAGAGGUGGGCGGAAUUCGUGGUGUAGCGGUGAAAUGCUUAGAUAUCACGAAGAACUCCGAUUGCGAAGGCAGUUCACUGGACUGCAACUGACACUGAGGCUCGAAAGUGUGGGUAUCAAACAGGAUUAGAUACCCGUGUAGUC
rnacentral:rRNA from 1 species